GAGAGAGAGAGAGAGAGAGAGAGAGAGAGAGAGAGAGAGCAUUAGUAUGUGCGUGCGUGCGUGUGUGCGUGCAGGCAAAUUGCGACACCUACCAAUGAGCAAUGGUCGGCUGCUAGAGGAGGAGGAGGAAGAAGAAGAAGAAGAAGAAGAAGAAGAGGAGGAGGAGGAGGAGGAGGAGGAGGAGGAGGAGGAGGAGGAGGAAGAAAAAGAAGAGGGGGAGGAGGAAGAAGAAGAAGAAGAAGAGUAGGAGGAAGAAGAAAAAGAAGAGAAAGAAAAAAAGAGGAGGAGGAGGAGGAGGAAGAAGAAGAAGAAUACAGGAAGAGGAUGUUACGUAUAUGAGAAAGACUACAGGAAGAGAAGAUUAGAAGGAGGAGGAGGAGGAGGAGGAGGAGAGGGAGGAAGAAGCAGGAAGAGGAAGAGGAGGAGACGAGACUAACAAAUGAUGAUGAAGGAAAGAUGAAAUAUGGAAGCAAGGGAGGAAGAGGAGGAGGAGGAGACGAAGAAGGAAGAAGGGCAAGGAGGAGGAAGGGUGGAUUAACAAACCUUCUAGAAAUAUAUAAAUCAGAUUAAUGUUGAUGAUGGUGGAGUCUGCAAGAGGCCUAUGGUAGAUUUGUACAAGGCAGCUCCUGUGAAUCUGACCCCACCUAACAUCGCUAUCCAUGACUAUCUAUUUUUGAAUGUGUCUAUCGUAUUGGCACUCGCUGCAUGACUGAUGGUGGUGGUGGUGGUAGUUGUGGUGGUGUUGUAUGGUCGUUUUCAAGAGGUCAGUACCAACACCAGGAGACUCCCUUCCCUACGAACUGUCUACGAUAUAUACCAAUUUAAGAACAUAAGAACGUUAGGAGUCUGCAAGAGGUCGGUUGGUCUGUACAAGGCAGCUCCUGUGAACCUAACCCCACCUAACAUCACUCUCCAUGAAUUUGUAUAUUUUUUUUAUGUGUCUAUUGCAUUGGCGCUCACUGCAGACUCCCUUCCCUACGAACUGUCUACGAUAUAUACCAAUUUAAGAACAUAAGAACGUAAGGAGUCUGCAAGAGGUCGGUAGGUCUGUACAAGGCAGCUCCCGUGAACCUAACCCCACCUAACAUCACUCUCCAUGAAUUUGUAUAUUUUUUUAUGUGUCUAUUGCAUUGGCGCUCACUGCAGACUCCCUUCCCUACGAACUGUCUACGAGCCAUCAUAUAUAUUCAAGAACAUAAGAUCGUAAUGAGUCUACAAGAGGUCGUUAGGUCUGUACAAGGCAGGUACCGUGAACCUAACCCCACCUAACAUCACUCUCCAUGAAUUUAUAUAUUUUUUUAUGUGACUAUUGUAUUGGCGCUCACAACAUGACUACCCAGCCUGUUCUACUCAUCUACCACUCUGUUAGUGAAACCGUUUUUGCCUAUGUCCCUGUUUAAUCUGAACUUAUCUAGUUUAAACCCAUUACUUCGUGUCCUACCCGGUUCUCUUACCAACAAAACUCUAUGAAUAUCCCCCUUAUUAAAGCCCUUCAUCCAUUUAUAAACCUCGAUCAUGUCUCCACGCACCCUUCGCCUUUCUAGAGAAUUCAAGUUUAACUGUUUGAGUCUUUCCUCGUAUGGCAAGUUUCUCAACCCCUGAAUCAUCUUGGUCGUCGUCCUCUGCACCGAUUCUAACAUUUUGACAUCCAUUAUAUACUAAGGUGACCAGAACUGAACCGCAUAGUCAAGAUGAGGUCUAACCAAUGCUAAAUAUAGUUUGAGGAAGACUUCGGCGCUUCUGUUGCUUAUACGCUCCUUGAAAUAAAACCCAGUACCCUGUCUGCUCGAUUUCUAGCCUGACUUGGCCCUCAAUAUUGGUAGAGAAUGCAAGUUUAACUGUUUGAGUCUUUCCUCGUAUGGCAAGAUAUCCAUUCUGUAGUAAGGUGACCAGAACUGAACCGCAUAAUCAAGAUGAGGUCUAACUAACGCUAAAUAUAGUUUGAGGAAGACUUCUGUUGCUUACGCUCCUUGAAAUAAAUCCCAGUACCCUGUUUGCUCGAUUUCUAGCUUGACUUCGCCCUCAAUAUAGGUAGGGUCUUAAAGCUGUCCGCGACGAUCCUAGCAACAUCCCAGACUCAAGCCAAAGAUCAGUUGUCCACCUCCCUGCAUUCCUCACGCCACCGAACUUGAUAUGACGCUCUCCUUGGCUCGCUGGCGUCACAGAAUUACGAGAGAAAAUCAUGUUGGAUGCGAUGAUAAGAGAGUGACUCGUAGACAGCUAACUUAGACUGCGAGAGGAGGAGGAGGAGGAGGAGGAGGAGGAGGAAUAAGGAAGAGAAGGUUAGGAAUUGGAGGAAUAGAAAAGAACGAUGAGGAGGAGGAGGAGAAGGAAUACUGGAAGAUGUUACGAAUAUAAGAUUGAAUACAGGAAGAGAAGGUCAAGAGGAGGAGGAGGAGGAAUACUGGAAGAUGUUACGAAUAUGAGAAGGGAUACAGGAAGAAAAGGUCAGGAGGAGGAAGAGGAAGAGGACGAGGAGGAGGAGGAGAAAUACAGGAAGAGAAGGUUAGGAGGAGGAGGAGUAUUAUGGGCACGUAUCCUACCAUCUCCUUGCUUCCUAAACCUCCGUGGCCUCCCCCUUACCGCACCCCUUGAGCCAUUUACACACUCGAUCCAAGGGUGCAUCGCGGAGGCCCUGCUGUGGUUCCCUUAUCGCCCCGUAUCGCCGAAGAACAACUGGCUUAUCGCUGGCCCGGGGCUGUCAUGUGAACGCCUGACUCACCGACGUACUCUGGUUGUUAUCUGUCAGGUAUAUGGUAGUGGUUGAUUGCUGAGCUGAGUGUGUGUUGAUGGGAUUCUACUGUCUACUGGAGGAGGAGGAGGGGGAGGGGGAGGAGAGGAUGGAGAUGGAGGUGAAAGUGGAAACAUGGGCGGUGGAUACGGUUUUUGAGGGAGUUGAUGGUUUUGGACUAAAUACUUCAGCAGGGAGGUUGUUCCAGUGGCGGAUGACUCGGUUGGAAAAGAAGCUCCUAUCGAUGUCUAUAAAGAGGAGGAGAGGAUGGAGAUGGAGGUGAAAGUGGAAACAUGAACGGUGGAUGCGAUUUUUGAAUGAGUUGAUGGUUCCUGCACUUAAUACUUCAGCAGGGAGGUUGUUCCAGUGGCGGAUGACUCGGUUGGAAAAGAAGCUCCUAUCGAUGUCUAUAAAGAGGAGGAGAGGAUGGAGAUAGAGGUGGAAGGGGAAACAUGGACGGUGGAUGCGAUUUUUGAAGGAGUUGAUGGUUUCUGCACUUGCUACUUCAGCAGGGAGGUUGUUCCAGUGGCGGAUGACUCGGUUGGGAUAUAAAAAAAGGGGAGGAGAGGAUGGAGAUAGAGGUGAAAGUGGAAACAUGGGCGGUGGAUACGGUUUUUGAAGGAGUUGAUGGUUUUGGACUUAAUACUUCAGCAGGGAGGUUGUUCCAGUGGCGGAUGACUCGGUUGGAGAAGAAAUUAAGAGGAGGAGGAAGAAGAAAAAGAGAGAAGAACGAUAUUGAUUAUGCAUACAAGGAAAAAUAACAUAUGGAAGACAGUUAGAGGAGGAGGAGGAGGAGGAGGAUGGACGGGGCUAGGCAUACAGAGAAGGGUUUAAUAAGUGGUUAGGAAACGGUGGAAGUGAAGAAAGAGGAGGAGGAGAAGGAGUCUGACUUAUCUUGGUGACCUAAAGACCGCUAUGUCACCACCACCACCACCACCAUAAUCAUCACCACCACCACCACCACCACCACUACCUCUAAAUUGCCUAAUGAUAGAAGCCUGAGAAAGAGAGAGAGAGAGAGAGAGAGAGAGAGAGAGAGAGAGAGAGAGAGAGAGAGAGAGAGAGAGAGAGAGAGAGAGAGACAGACAGACAGACAGAUACAAGAUGAGGCGAUAAGGAGAACUCGAUAGUGAGAAGCCUCAGAGAGAGAGAGAGAGAGAGAGAGAGAGAGAGAGAGAGAGAGAGAGAG